rnacentral:tRNA from 1 species
UACACCAUGGAACCGCCCACCGGCCUUUACCUUGCAGCCGCUGGGCCAGGCCGCGCGCAGCCCCGCCGGCCCAGGCCCCGCCUCCCGCCGGGCGCGCUCCUCACCCCGCAGCCCCCAGCCCGCUUCCGCCUCGACGCCAGGAGGCUCCGGACUCGCCUGCCCGCGGCCUCCGGGCAGCAGACACACGCCCCUCCACUAUUGGCUCUAGGAGGGAAAAGCCCAGAAGAAACUCUCACCUACUCACACUCGACCACGCUGCUCAGGGCGCCGGCGGUGUGGGUGCUCUGGGUAAGUUGUGUGGGGCCCGGGCCCAUUUGGGUCCACCCUGAUUCCUAACAGAAUGGACUGUGUCCCCCGGUGAAGCCCGCAACGUCCUGCGACUCUAAUCUAACCUUGGCCCUGGGGUCCCAGGGAGAAGACUUCCUGGGAAGUCCCAGGGGCUGUUCUGAGGAUGCUCAGAGCUCCCAGGGCAGCGGGAAGAGGACCCUUAACAAAGAGGAAAGGAACUUGUUUUUUCUGGUGGGAAUCCUACCUCAGCGUAGAACACUCCACAAAUGCUGGCAGAGCAGGUGGACUUGGGGGAGGCCUGAAAGCCCUGCCCUGUCGCUGACCCCAGUGGAUUUCAUGUCCUCCUGGACGUACUAACCUGCAGGGAGGCCGAGGGCAGGCAAGGCCGGCGCCCCCUGGCGUCGCGGAGGACGCGGGCUGCGCGCGGCUGAGGAGCGCGCCCGGCGGGAAGCGGGUCCUGGGCCGGCGGGGCUGCGCGCGCCUGGCUCAACUGCUGGCAGGGACGGGCUGCGGGAGGGUCUGCGUUAUGGUGAGCACUCUGGCCUCUGAAUUCAGUGAUCCCAGCUGAAGGGUCCCCGGUGGUUCCAUGGUGUGAUGGCGAGCACUCUGGACUCUGAAUCCAGCGUGAAUCCGAGUUCGAGUCUCGGUGGAACCUCGUCUUUGGGGCGGCGCUCAGCAGUUUUUACUCACUCCUGUUCUGCGUCGGACCCACGCGCUGCCCCGGAACCGCGAGGGCCACACGGACGUGGCAGCACCCGAGUCUUGAAGGGCUCUGAUGUCCCUGAGCAGCCAGGGUGACUGCCUCUGAGCUUUCGUGUUAACGGUUCAAGACCUGAAUUCCAAGCAGUGUUGUAUUCCGGUACUAUUUUAUUAAGAAUUUUAAUUGGCCUUUUUCCAGUUUAUUCUGAUUUUGUUCAGAAUUUCUCGCCCCUGAAUCUCCACUGGACACGAAAGCCGCUGUUAGGGUAAGACCGGAACCUCGACUCCAGGAAAUCUCGUCCUUCCGCCCCAGAAGAGGAGCCUGGGCCUCAGAUUCCAGCGUCUGAGG